UCUAAGAGUGAGAGGACAGCACACAAAGACCACAGGAAGAAGAGGAAGAACUGUCGGUGUGGCCAAGAAGAAGUAAACUGUGUAAAUGAGGGAGGAAAAGUAAAAAAAAGUGUAUCAAAAGAGUGUUUUUUGUUAUCAUUGUUAGUUCUGUAACCUCAUAAUCUGUACUUGUAUGAUGAGCUAAAUAUGAUUACCAUCUUUUGUCUGGGUUUAUAUAAAAAAAAACACCCACUGCAUUUUUUGCCCACAAAGUCGGGGGUAGCUUAUGCUAUAUAUUAACAUAAAAAGAAAAAAAAAACCUCAUUUCAGCACUAUAUAGUUGAACAGAAUAUAAAUUCCACUCCAUUAGAUUUAUAUACAUUGAGCUACACACUGACCCUCUGAUUAGAGAAAUUAUUCUUUUAUCACUUUAGAGAAAUGAUAUGCCGGUAUCAAAAAGAAUGCUGUACUCUAGACCAAACAAUUAACAAUGAAGCACAAUUUAAUAGCUUAUGCUAACCCCCCUUCCUCCCCCCCCCCCCCCCCUCCAGUGUCAGUGUCCAGGCCUGGUUAAAGUUAACAGAACAGAACAGAUCCUGUUUCUAAGUUGUCACUUGUCCUAUCUAUACCAUACUUGAAUGAAUGGUGCAUGUGGACCUACUUUAAUAGGACUUAAAAGAAUUAGAUUCUGAAUAUGGACCAUGAUUUAAAGGAUGUGAUGUAGAGGACAGGUAGCUUUAGAUACAGAACUUGAUCUUGAUUAUCUGGAUGUAGAAGCAGGUGAAGUUUUUUGAGUAUUUCAAAGCAGGUUUGAAUGUUUGGGGAAAAAUGCUAUCCUGACCAAUUUCAUUGUUCAUGUAACUUUUCUCCAUUUUCAAAGAUGAUGAGAAAGCCUGGUACUUUCUCACAGAAAUUUCCUUGAUGGAUGUGUUUGUUGAUACAUGAAGUAUCAUAUGAUUCCCUUAAAGCAUCAUAUAACACUAUCACAGUAUAUUAUUGUACGACAUGAUACAAUGUUGAAUCAUAUUUUAUAUAUGGUAACACAAUAAUGUAUCAAAUGGUAUUAUACAUGUGAUAUGAUAUUGUAUUCCGAUCAAUAUUUAUCAUAUGAUGUUAUCUUGUAUAUGAUUUGGUACAAUAUCAUUGGAUUUUUCAUAUGAUUUGGUAUAUGAUAAAAAGUAGGAUUUGAUUUAAUGCAAUAUAUUAUUUAUGCAAUACUGUACAAUAAUGUAUCAUGAUUUUAUAGAAUGAUAUUAUAUAACAUGAUGUGAUAAAAUAUAUAUUAUAUGAUACAAUAUAUUGCAUUGUAUGAUAAAAAUAUAUACAAUAC
rnacentral:misc_RNA from 1 species